AACGCGAAGAACCUUACCAGGUCUUGACAUCCGAUGCAUAGCACAGAGAUGUGUGAAGUCCUUCGGGACAUCGAGACAGGUGGUGCAUGGUUGUCGUCAGCUCGUGUCGUGAGAUGUUGGGUUAAGUCCCGCAACGAGCGCAACCCUUACUGCCAGUUACUACGCAAGAGGACUCUGGCAGGACUGCCGUUGACAAAACGGAGGAAGGUGGGGAUGACGUCAAAUCAUCAUGCCCUUUAUGACCUGGGCUACACACGUACUACAAUGGCGCUUAACAAAGAGAAGCAAAACCGCGAGGUGGAGCAAAACUCAUAAACAGCGUCCCAGUUCAGAUUGCAGGCUGCAACUCGCCUGCAUGAAGUCGGAAUUGCUAGUAAUCGCGGAUCAGCAUGCCGCGGUGAAUACGUUCCCGGGUCUUGUACACACCG
rnacentral:rRNA from 1 species